AAGUGUAAAUUUGAUUUACCAGGGUAUUAUUAGUUAAGGUCUUUAAACCCAAAGAAUUUGGCGGUAUCUCAUUCCAUUCAGAGGAACCUACCCCGUUAUUGAUAGUACACGAUUAACUUUACUUAAUUUAAUUGUUUGUAUAUCUCCGUUAUCAGGAAAUCUUUUUAGAGUUAUAAUUUUCUUGAUUUAUAAUUAUGAAUUAUUUCAGGUCAAGGUGCAGCUUAUAAUUAAGAGGAGGUGGGUUACAAUAGGUUUUUGCUUAUAAUGGAUUUAAUAUUGAAAUAUUAUUAAUGAAGGUGGAUUUGAUAGUAAUUUAAUUUAUUUAAUUUAAUUGAUAUUGGCUCUGAGGU
rnacentral:rRNA from 1 species